UCUAAUAUUUCGGGGGAUUUGUCGAACAACUCAGACCUCCUCAUGAGUUGAGCAAGUAAAUAAUAAAACGUUCAGUCACAGCAAAAGCUCUCCUGCUAGCAAAUGGCUGACACGGAGAUGAACCGCUGAGCUAGUGACUAGUAAAUGAUCUCCAGGAUAGAGAAUAUGAAACGUUCCCUGCUGUGGUUACCGGGCACAAAUGCUGCCAAGCGAGAUGCAGAUGGCAUUGGAUUUCAGUGGCAAACUCACAAGACAUAGAUUUGAACGUCUUUCACCGACGGCUUCAGGAAGAAGGUGACAUGAGCAACGAGUGAGAAGACAUCGCUACCUGGAAAGGUCCCUGUAGGAUCACUAUUAAAGUGAAGAGCCAAUGUGGAGCCAGCGGACGCCCGGGUGCAGCGCCAUCAUCUGGCUAAUCAUAGCCUGCAGCAGCUGGUGCGACUCUUCUCUGU